UCUGUAGCUCAGUUGGAUAGAGCAACGGCCUUCUAAGCCGUGGGUCGGGGGUUCGAAUCCCUUC
rnacentral:tRNA from 1 species